rnacentral:rRNA from 1 species
AUUGAACGCUGGCGGCAGGCCUAACACAUGCAAGUCGAGCGGAGCGGCGGACGGGGGAGUAAUGCCUAGGAAUCUGCCUGGUAGUGGGGGAUAACGUACGGAAACGGGAGCUAAUACCGCAUACUAUCAGAUAGGCCUAGGUAGGGUUAGCUAGUUGGUGGGGUAAAGGCAUACCAAGGCGACGAUCCGUAACUGGUCUGAGAGGAUGAUAAGUCACACUGGAACUGAGACACUGUCCAGACUCCUACGGGAGGCAGCGGUGGGGAAUAUUCGCCAAUGGGCGAAAGCCUGAUCCAGCCAUGCCGCGUGUGUGAUGAAGGUCUUCGGAUUCUAAAGCACUUUAAGUUGGGAGGCGUUACCCGCAGAAGAAGCACCGGCUAACUCCGUGCCAGCAGCCGCGGUAUUAU